rnacentral:rRNA from 1 species
GAUGAACGCUGGCGGCGUGCCUAAUACAUGCAAGUCGAGCGAACAGAUAAGGAGCUUGCUCCUUUGACGUUAGCGGCGGACGGGUGAGUAACACGUGGGUAACCUACCUAUAAGACUGGGAUAACUUCGGGAAACCGGAGCUAAUACCGGAUAACAUUUGGAACCGCAUGGUUCUAAAGUGAAAGAUGGUUUUGCUAUCACUUAUAGAUGGACCCGCGCCGUAUUAGCUAGUUGGUAAGGUAACGGCUUACCAAGGCGACGAUACGUAGCCGACCUGAGAGGGUGAUCGGCCACACUGGAACUGAGACACGGUCCAGACUCCUACGGGAGGCAGCAGUAGGGAAUCUUCCGCAAUGGGCGAAAGCCUGACGGAGCAACGCCGCGUGAGUGAUGAAGGGUUUCGGCUCGUAAAACUCUGUUAUUAGGGAAGAACAAAUGUGUAAGUAACGGUGCACGUCUUGACGGUACCUAAUCAGAAAGCCACGGCUAACUACGU